AGGCGGGUAGGGGAGCCGCCCCGGGUUUGUAAUAAUAAUAAAGGCUCUCUGCUUUUGCAUCGGACUCCGCUGGAUCCUGAAAUCUGGGCAUAACAAUCUCAAGCAGCGCGACUGACUGCGUGAACUCAGAGGAGCACUGCUUCUUCUCACGGAAAGCCCAGCGAUGAACGGCUCAAAUUCUGGAAACACUGGAACCCUCAGCACUAUGCCAGCAGCAGCACCUACUUCCAGCACUGGCGUUCGGGAAGGCUGGCAUGAACAUGUCACCCAGGACAUGCGGAGCCACCUAGUGCAUGAACUCAUCCAAGCCAUCUUCCCAACACCUGACCCUGCAGCCCUGGAGGAUCCCCGCAUGAAGAACCUAGUGGACUACGCUAAGAACGUAGAAGGGGACAUGUAUGAGUCUGCCAACAGCCGGGAUGAAUACUAUAGCUUAUUAGCAGAGAGAAUCGAUAUGAUACAAAAAGAAGAAGAAGAAAAACGGAUGUUGCGUUUACACAAACUAGGCAUCUUGGGUAACCAGCCAGCCUUACCAGCCGCCGGGGCGCAGCCUCCUGGUUACCACGGUCACAACCUGUGAGACCCCCAGGGACAGGUGUCUGGUGCUGCUCUUCCUAACCUUCCGAACAUGCUUGGGUCCCAGCUGCCUUGUCCACCAGAGACACAAUCACCUCUGCACCAGACACCGCCUCCUGCUUCCACAGCCGCUGCCUGCCACCUCUACAGCAUCCAACAGCACCUGUGAUGAAAUUUCCAUC